AACGAACGCUGGCGGCAUGCCUAACACAUGCAAGUCGAACGAGACCUUCGGGUCUAGUGGCGCACGGGUGCGUAACGCGUGGGAACCUGCCCUUAUGUUCGGAAUAACUCCCCGAAAGGGGUGCUAAUACCGGAUCAUGUCUUCGGACCAAAGAUUUAUCGCCUUUGGAUGGGCCCGCGUUGGAUUAGCUAGUUGGUAGGGUAAAAGCCUACCAAGGCGACGAUCCAUAGCUGGUCUGAGAGGAUGAUCAGCCACACUGGGACUGAGACACGGCCCAGACUCCUACGGGAGGCAGCAGUGGGGAAUAGUGGACAAUGGGCGAAAGCAUGAUCCAGCAAUGCCGCGUGAGUGAUGAAGGCCUUAGGGUUGUAAAGCUCUUUUAACCGGGAUGAUAAUGACAGUACCGGGAGAAUAAGCUCCGGCUAACUCCGUG
rnacentral:rRNA from 1 species